CCUACGGGAGGCAGCAGUGAGGAAUAUUGGUCAAUGGGCGGGAGCCUGAACCAGCCAAGUCGCGUGAGGGAAGACGGUCCUACGGAUUGUAAACCUCUUUUGCCGGGGAGCAACGGGGUCCUUGCGAGGGCCCGAUGAGAGUACCCGGCGAAAAAGCAUCGGCUAACUCCGUGCCAGCAGCCGCGGUAAUACGAGGGAUGCGGGCGUUAUCCGGAUUUUUUGGGUUAAAGGGGUGCGUAGACGGGCUGUUAAUUCAGCGGUCAAAGGUCGGGGCUCAACCCCGGCCGGCCGUUGAGACUGGCGGCCUCGAGUGGGCGAGAGGUAUGCGGAAUGCGUGGUGUAGCGGUGAAAUGCAUAGAUAUCACGAAGAACUCCGAUUGCGAAGGCAGCAUACCGGCGCCCGACUGACGCUGAGGCACGAAAGCGUGGGUAUCGAACAGGAUUAGAUACCCUUGUAGUC
rnacentral:rRNA from 1 species